ACCUUUCCCUUCCUGAACAGACCUUUUAUUUGGUAGGUAAUAUCGAUGAAGCUACUGCGAAGGGUAUGAACUUAGAAAUGGAAAGCAUUUUGAAGAAAUGACUUUAAAUCUUUGUGUACUGACCCUUAAUUGAAUUGUUUGGGAUUCUAUCUGAAUGAUGGGUCUCAACUCAGGAGGAAGAACUGGUAAUAAACACAAAACCCAUCCAUUUUGGUUCUAUAUUUGUUCGAAUAAAAUGCUUAGUCAAUUCAAUGCGUCUAACUAAAAAAUCCUUUCUUCUUCCAACCUUUUGAUCUUCCCAUUCAUAUCCUGUGGUUCCUUCUUCCCCUAUGUGUUGUCCGGAAAGAAGAGGACUCAAUGAUUAUUCGUUCACCGGAACCAGAAGUCAAAAUUUUGGUGGAUAAGGGUCCCUAAAAACUUCUUUCGAUGAAUGGGCCAGACCAGGCCAUUUCUCAAGAACAGUAGCUAAAGGACCUGAUACUACCACUUGGAUCUGGAACCUACAUGCUGAUGCUCAUGAUUUCAAUAGCCAUACCAGUGAUUUGGAGGAGAUCUCUCGCUAUCAACUUCUUGGUCUUAUGGUAUAUCUCAGUAUCAAGGAUGAUACGAAGAUCUGUAUUUGUUUAUAAACUCUCCUGGUGGAUGGGUAAUACCUGGAGUAGCUAUUUACGAUACUAUGCAAUUUGUGAGUCCCAAAUAAUGAGAAAUAUUUAAAAAAACAGGUUUGAUUACGCCUAUUCCUAAUCCUAAAUGGAAUGGAAUGACCUAGGGAUCCAUAUGUAAAUAUAGUAUCUAUUUAGAUACGUUCGAAUGACCCCUUGAGAAUGUAUAUAACCCUAUUCCGGUCUAGUCCGGUAUGGAAUGAACUUAUAAUCAUGGAAUCGACUCGAUCAUCAGAUUACAAAUUCAUAACCCUAGCCCAUUCCCAUUUUGGUCGGAACAGAUCUGCUAAUUCUUUGAUUCCAGUUAGUAAGAGGGAUCUUAAACUAAG
rnacentral:lncRNA from 1 species